AUUGAACGCUGGCGGCACGCCUAACACAUGCAAGUCGGACGGCAGCACAGUAUGGGGCAACCCAUAUGGGUGGCGAGUGGCGGACGGGUGAGUAGAGCGCAGGGAUCUGGCUUGAGGAGUGGGAUAGCCCGUGGAAACGCGGGGUAAUACCGCAUAAAGUUGAGAGACCAAAGGUAGGGGAUCGAAAGACCUUACGCCUUGAGAGGAACCUGCGUCGGAGUAGCUAGUUGGUAGGGUAAAGGCCUACCAAGGCGAAGAUCCGUAGCUGGUCUGAGGGGACGAUCAGCCACACUGGGACUGAGAGACGGCCCAGACUCCUACGGGAGGCAGCAGUGGGGAAUCUUGGACAAUGGGGGAAACCCUGAUCCAGCGAUGCCGCGUGUGUGAAGAAGGCCUUCGGGUUGUAAAGCACUUUUGUUGGGGAAAAAGAGUAGGGACUGAAUAAGUUUCUAUUUUGAUGGUACCCAAAGAAUAAGCACCGGCUAACUCUGUGCCAGCAGCCGCAGUAAGAC
rnacentral:rRNA from 1 species